UACGUAGGUGGCAAGCGUUGUCCGGAAUUACUGGGCGUAAAGAGCGCGCAGGCGGCUGGUCAAGUCCGAUGUGAAAGCUCCCGGCUUAACUGGGAAAUUGCAUCGGAAACUGGUCGGCUUGAAGGUGGGAGAGGGUAGUGGAAUUCCCGGUGUAGUGGUGAAAUGCGUAGAUAUCAGGAGGAACACCGGUGGCGAAGGCGGCCCUCUGGACGAUGACUGACGCUGAGACGCGAAAGCGUGGGGAGCAAACAGG
rnacentral:rRNA from 1 species